rnacentral:snoRNA from 1 species
UCGACAUCACCUUGGCGGAACUGUUGCCCUCUGGGCGACGGUUCCGUCUAAAAUACCGGGGGCCGGCCCUGUCACUCAAUGCACGGCUGUUCCUCAAUGUCGAAGAGUAAAUUGCCCUUCGGGAGGCGAUGGACGGUAUAUUCCUGAUCUUUCGCGUAGCCCCUGGGCUGUGACCGCGUAGAUAAACCAUACCAGCCACAUUU